rnacentral:pre_miRNA from 1 species
GGAUGAGUUCCUGGGUGGCAGUGUGGUUAGCUGGUUGUCUGGUAGAGAGAACAACCGCUAUCAGCACUGCCGUCCUGGUGGCUAACGUC